UACGGAGGGUGCGAGCGUUGUCCGGAAUCACUGGGCGUAAAGGGCGCGUAGGCGGCGCGGGCAGUCAACGGUGAAAGCUUGGGGCUCAACCCCGAGUCGGCCGUCGAUACUCCCGGGCUGGAGCACUGUAGAGGCAGGUGGAAUUCCGGGUGUAGCGGUGGAAUGCGUAGAGAUCCGGAAGAACACCGGUGGCGAAGGCGGCCUGCUGGGCAGUAGCUGACGCUGAGGCGCGAAAGCCAGGGGAGCAAACGGG
rnacentral:rRNA from 1 species